GCCCGGGUGGUGGAACAGGCAUACACGGCCGCCUUAAAAGCGGCUGCCGAGAGGCUUGCGGGUUCGAGUCCCGCCCCGGGCA
rnacentral:tRNA from 1 species